UUUUUCUGACUUUCACAAUUCGUCCUCUCUCUUUUCUUUUUUUAAUUUUAUCUUCGCUUUCAAUUGGUCGAUUUUUCGUUCCAUUCUCGCCUCCAACGACCAAUGGUCGUCCUGCCUUCAACAAUUUUUAGCCUUCAAAGAUUUUCGACGAGUAGCAAUUUUCUACAAUUUUCCGUUUGCGUCUACUUCGGAAUUCAGAAUUAUGAUUAUUCAAUGUUAUGAGUGUAACACUACCUCUAGUUUGCAAGGGUCAAGCAAAAGGACCAUGAAAACAAAAAAAAAAGAUUGAUUGAUGAAAAGAAAAGUCACUCAAAAUGUAGUUAUUUUUGUCGUGCUGGUCACAACCGUAGAACGUGCACACUUCCAUUAUUUUUACAAUUAUGUGACAUUAUGUUGUUGCCUUUUUUUUUUCUUUUGUUAGAAGGAAAUACUUUCUAUUUGUUUGACUCAAACCUUUCGAUAAUAAGUCACUUCUUUUAUCAAUA